rnacentral:rRNA from 1 species
AUUGAACGCUGGCGGCAGGCCUAACACAUGCAAGUCGAGCGGAUGAAGGGAGCUUGCUCCUGGAUUCAGCGGCGGACGGGUGAGUAAUGCCUAGGAAUCUGCCUGGUAGUGGGGGAUAACGUCCGGAAACGGGCGCUAAUACCGCAUACGUCCUGAGGGAGAAAGUGGGGGAUCUUCGGACCUCACGCUAUCAGAUGAGCCUAGGUCGGAUUAGCUAGUUGGUGGGGUAAAGGCCUACCAAGGCGACGAUCCGUAACUGGUCUGAGAGGAUGAUCAGUCACACUGGAACUGAGACACGGUCCAGACUCCUACGGGAGGCAGCAGUGGGGAAUAUUGGACAAUGGGCGAAAGCCCGAUCCAGCCAUGCCGCGUGUGUGAAGAAGGUCUUCGGAUUGUAAAGCACUUUAAGUUGGGAGGAAGGGCGGUAAGUUAAUACCUUGCUGUUUUGACGUUACCAACAGAAUAAGCACCGGCUAACUUCGUG